AUGCUUGUUUCAGCAGUACAUAUACUAAAAUUGGAAUGACACAAAGAAGAUUAGCAUGGCCUCUGUGCAAGGAUGACAUGCAAAAUUGUGAAGCAUUCCAUAUUUUU
rnacentral:snRNA from 1 species